CCUACGGGAGGCUGCAGUGGGGAAUAUUGCGCAAUGGGCGAAAGCCUGACGCAGCGACGCCGCGUGAGGGAUGAAGGUCUUCGGAUCGUAAACCUCUGUCAGCAGGGAAGAACGGUCACUGUGCUAAUCAGCAGUGAAUUGACGGUACCUGCAAAGGAAGCACCGGCUAACUCCGUGCCAGCAGCCGCGGUAAUACGGAGGGUGCGAGCGUUAAUCGGAAUUACUGGGCGUAAAGCGCUCGUAGGCGGGAUGUCAAGUCAAGGGUGAAAUCCCCGGGCUCAACGUGGGAACUGCCUUUGAAACUGGCAAACUGGAGUGUGUGAGAGGAUAGUGGAAUGCCAGGUGUAGGAGUGAAAUCCGUAGAUAUCUGGAAGAACAUCAGUGGCGAAGGCGACUAUCUGGAACAUAACUGACGCUGAGGAGCGAAAGCGUGGGUAGCAAACAGGAUUAGAUACCCCAGUAGUC
rnacentral:rRNA from 1 species